UCCCGGUGAUUGCGCUGCCUACCCCGCGACAUCCCAUCAAUCGGUUGUCUCAGGAAGCGCAGUGCGAGAUGGAGGGUGGCGAGAUUCAAAUUCCCUGAUCCAUCUCAGGAUGGGCAGGUCUGUGUUCAAAUCAUUUGCAUGUCGUUAGUCAAAGAGAAGGUGUGGUUCAUCGGAUUGGAGGGGUGACUGGAUGUGGAGCUCAUUUUUUGGGCGAUCAAGGAGGCCUAAUCCCCCGAUCCGGUACAACCGGCAAUGUGUAGCACCUUCAAAUCCAUAUUUGGGGACGUUCCCCCCGACUCCACUUAGGACGACUCUAUGGAGAAACUGCAUCCCUCGUCUUCAUCGAAGUCCAGUGGUCGCAGCAAGCGAGCCAGGCGGGAGAUCUACUUUCCACAAGAUCACUUUGCUAUUUUGGGACCUCGCCAUCACAAAAUCGAGCCUCCUCCAUGGUCGGUGAUUGAGGUGGAGUUAUUUUCUCUUUUUUGAUACAUUUCCCAUGGUCGUCUUUGUGAGAUUUCUCAUGUGUGUGCAACUCAAUUUCCGCCAGAUUCAGCCCCAAUUCGCUCGUGUUUCGAUAUGUCUUGUCCUGGGGUUAUCCCUAUUUCAAUGUGUCCGGCGAUUUCUUCUCAAGCUAGUAUGUCGAAUUGUGAGUUAGUGUAAGUGCAUCAAGUGCCCCCUUAGUGGUUUUGGAGUAUUGAAGACAAAUAUGUUGAGGAACUAAUGUGUUUAUGAGUAUACACAGGAGACAGAGUCCCAGAAGAUUUGGUUUAACACAUGGAAGAUGACCCCUAAAAAUGGAUUUCUUCAAGUGAAGAAGUUGGUAAUGAAAUUGGUACGGCCUUUGAAGAAAUUGAUGUGAAGAUUUUGAAGCUUGAAGACUUUGUUUUCGUAGUUUCUUUUCUUCUUCUUUGAGUCAUAGGAAAAACCGUAUUGUUAAAGGGUGUCAAGGUGAGACAUAUUUCACGUUUCCAAAGUGAUGCUCAAACCUACUCUCACCCAUACACAAAAGCUGCUUCGAGUGAAGCCUUUGGAAAUCUCCAGUACAGCUGACACAUUUGCUAGCGACAGUGAUGAAGUUCAUCUGGUCACUGACGAAUUUGGUCACGCUGAGGAGUUAGGAGUUUGCCAGUGUGAUCUGCCUAAAAGCGAGGAAAUCGAGUGCCCCAACAAAUUUGAGAGUUCAAAUUGUGACCCAUGUUGCGCCGCUUGCCAGCUGUCGAGUGGAUCCUUAUCCUGACAAAGGUUGAAUUAGAGAAGGGAAUUUAUGACAAUUCAUGUCGGGUUGCCCCCGGCUAUAAAUAGCCGCCACCCCACAACCACUUGUUGGUUGGCUGCUCUGAGAGAACUUUACACUUGUCAUUUGAGAGCAACCCAUCCUCUGAUGACUUUGAGAGAAUCCUAAGUGAGGGAAAACCCAGAGCCAAAGUGAUUGAGCAUCACUUUGAGAUUGAUUUGUGUGAGAUCCGACGCCUGUUACCUUCGAAGACUGUCAUUCUUCCUGACGGUUAUGCGUCAAGUUUUGAGUACACCAAGAGUCAUUGUGGUGUGUCGGUGAACAAGUCUGUGAAGGUUUUGGAAGUCUACCUUGAAGACUUACCACAAGUGAUUGGGCGAGUUCUGUGGGCCUUAGC
rnacentral:lncRNA from 1 species